rnacentral:lncRNA from 1 species
UAAGAUUAAACCUGAUUAACAAUUCUUCCUUCAAUAACAGAAACAAAAAGUAUCGGGUACAAUCAACUUGCACUUUGCUAGCUUUGCUGGAAAUACAUAGACAAAAACGCAAUGGGAAACACGAACAGACCUCGAAUCGGCAACGGAACGACGACCUCAAACCGUUUCUAACAUCUCGGCUCCAAAUCUGUUCGUGUGCGUGACUGUGUGCGAGUGUUUGGAUGGCAGCUGUUACUAUUUUUUAGGUUAGAAGAAGAAGGAAUCAGCUGGUGUGUGUGUAUUUGGUCGCUGACACUUCUGCUUCGCACACAACAGAAAAAAUCUUCUUUGAUUUAGCCAACACUUCAACAAAUUUUGGUGAAACUUUUGCUUCGCAUACAAGGGUGCCGGAACCCGGAAAUGAUUCCACUGGCAGUGACCUUUCCCCUGCUCUGCAACUUUCUCACAGAUUCACGAUCAUCCCUUUCUUAUUCCGUUUUUUCCUAUUCUUAUUUCCUGCUCUCCUUCGUUGUUUGUGUGUGGUUUUGUCGCUGAUGGCUUUUUCUUGGAGUGGGGUGCUAGG